rnacentral:lncRNA from 1 species
UCGACAGCUCAAGAAGAAGAAGAUACAGAAAAAUCAGAGAACAGUGAGGAAGAUGAGGAUUUGGCCCUAAUCACUAAAAAAUUUAGAUGCUUCAUGAGGAGAAGGUGAUAAGGUACCAAGAAAAAACCACCAGCUAAGGAAGAGCUGAGUAAAGAAAAAGAAAAAGAACAGUCCAUCAUUUGUUAUGAGUGCAAGAAGUCAGAGCACUU